GGUGCCAGCAGCCGCGGUAAUUCCAGCUCCAAUAGCGUAUAUUAAAGUUGUUGCGGUUAAAAAGCUCGUAGUUGGUUCUGCGUCCCGCGCUGUCGGUACACCGUUUGUCGGUGACACUGGCAUGACGCGGGAUGUCCUGUCGGUGGCGGCGGAGACCAUAUCGUCGUCGGAUAACACCGCGGCGUGUUGGCCUUCUGUCGCCGGCUAUAUCCUACCGCGGUGCUCUUCACUGAGUGUCGAGGUAGGCCGACACGUUUACUUUGAACAAAUUAGAGUGCUUAAAGCAGGCAAAAAUCUCUGCCAGAAUAGUGGUGCAUGGAAUAAUGGAACAGGACCUUGGUUCUAUUCUGUUGGUCUCCGGAACACAAGGUAAUGAUCAAUGUGGACAGGCGGGGGCAUUCGUAUUGCGGCGUUAGAGGUGAAAUUCUUGGAUCGUCGCAAGACGCACUAGAGCGAAAGCAAUUGCCAAGUAUGUCUUAAUUGAUCAAGAACGAAAGUUAGAGGUUCGAAGGCGAUCAGAUACCGCCCUAGUUCUAACCAUAAACGAUGCCAGCCAGCGAUCCGCCGAUGUUCCUUUGAUGACUCGGCGGGGAGCUUUCCCCGGGAAACCAAAGCUUUUGGGUUCCGGGGGAAGUAUGGUUGCAAAGCUGAAACUUAAAGGAAUUGACGGAAGGGCACCACCAGAAGUGGAGCCUGCGGCUUAAUUUGACUCAACACGGGAAACCUCACCAGGUCAGGACAUUGGAAUGAUUGACAGAUUGAU
rnacentral:rRNA from 1 species